AAAGAAUUAGUUUAUCAAAAAUAUAAGUUUGUCAAACCUAAGAAAUUUAGUAAAUAAAUAUUCUUUU
rnacentral:tRNA from 1 species